GAGUCAGCUGCAGGUGAGGAUGGAUCCAGCAAAGGCAGAGUCACCCUCAAUGCUUGAGGAAUUCUGCAUAGGAAGCAGGAACCAAGGCAGUUCAUGCGUAACCCACCCUGGCUUGCUCUGCACAUGAAUGGACAAACCACUUGGUAGGAUCAUCACGCUGUGUGCUGGGAUCUGGGCUGCAGACGGGAUGAGGGAGGCGUCACCACUCACGAAUGACUGGCUGUCCUGCUGUCCAGAAGCCAAGAUGCAGAGAACUAACGUGCAUCAGUCUUUGGCCCCGGAAGAAAACACAGCAAAUAACUAUGGGAAACAAUGAGCUCCCACUUGAGCAACUGGCCUCCCCUCCCACCAGCUUUUAUCAGGCUUCACCCUCAGUGAUGAGCAGAUACACGUGCAGAAGGUGUCCACCACCUGAUUGAUGACAACCGCAAAACGUA